GCCUGCUGACCGCGCCGAGCGCCGAGCUGGACUGACCACGGCGGCCCGGGGAGGGAGAGGAAGCAGCCGGCCCGCCCCUGGACUCGCGCGCUCGCCGCCGCCGAGGGGAUUGAGCUGAGGCGCCGCGGCCGCGGGAGCUGAGAGGAAGGAGGAGCCGCCGCGGGACUGUGCCGGGGCAGAGCCGAGAGACCGACUCGGAGAAGGCAGCGGAGAGGAGGAUGUCUCGCCGAGCGGCCGGCGCCCGGAUCAGCCCGUGACUCCUGCAGCGGCGGGCCUCAGACCCCAGCGCCGACUCGGACUUUGUCUGUGGGGGCCCGUGCUCUGCCCUCCCCGGCCUCCGGCGGGAUCCCAGAGGAGCCGGCGUGCCCCUCUGCCCUCCAGCCUUCUUCACCAUGUCCAAGAUGCCGGCCAAGAAGAAGAGCUGCUUCCAGAUCACCAGUGUCACCACGGCCCAGGUGGCCACCAGCAUCACCGAGGACACCGAGAGCCUGGACGACCCGGACGAGUCACGCACGGAGGACGUGUCCUCCGAGAUUUUCGACGUCUCCCGGGCCACGGAUUAUGGCCCCGAGGAGGUCUGCGAGCGCAGCUCCUCCGAAGAGACGCUCAACAACGUUGGGGAUGCAGAGACUCCCGGGACCGUCUCCCCAAACCUCCCCCUGGAUGGGCAGCUGGCGGCCGCGGCGGCCGCUCCCGCCAACGGAGGAGGAGUCAUUUCGGCCCGGAGCGUGGCUGGGGCGCUCGCCAGUACCCUGGCCGCGGCUGCCACCUCGGCCCCCGCCCCCGGGGCACCCGGCGGCCCCCCGGUCGCGGGCUCGUCCGCCGGCGCGGGAGCUGCAGCCCCAUCGCAGCCUCCUGCCACUUGUAGUUCCCGUUUUCGCGUGAUCAAGCUGGACCACGGGAGCGGGGAGCCCUAUCGACGCGGCCGAUGGACGUGUAUGGAAUACUAUGAGCGGGAUUCAGACAGCAGCGUCCUGACGAGGUCCGGGGAUUGCAUUAGACACAGCAGUACUUUUGAUCAGACUGCAGAGCGGGACAGUGGCCUGGGCGCCACCGGAGGGUCGGUGGUGGUAGUGGUGGCCUCCAUGCAGGGGGCGCACGGGCCCGACUCGGGAACUGACAGCUCUUUGACUGCUGUGUCACAGCUACCCCCGUCGGAGAAAAUGAGCCAGCCCACUCCGGCCCAGCCGCCGAGUUUUAGCGUUGGGCAGCCACAGCCGCCGCCGCCCGUAGGUGGGGCUGUGGCUCAAAGCUCGGCUCCGCUGCCGCCGUUCCCGGGAGCCGCGGCCGGGCCGCAGCCAAUGAUGGCAGCCGCUCCGCCAAGCCAGCCCCAGGGAACGGGUCCCGGCGGACAGGGUCUGCAGCAGACGAAUGUAACCCUGGCGCCGCCGGCCCUGUCCCUGCCUCCGCAGCCGGGCCCGGUCGUCGGCGCUUCGGCAACGCCGCAGCCCCAGCAGUUCGCGUAUCCCCAGCCUCCGAUACCGCCGGGGCAUUUGCUGCCCGUCCAGCCCUCCAUGCAGAGUGAGUACCUGCAGCAGCACGUGCCCGGCCUGCAGCCGCCGAGCCCCGCGCAGCCCUCGUCCACCGGCGCGGGAGCAAGCCCCGCCAUGGCGGCCAGCCUUCCCGUGGGCACCGGCCAGAAUGCCUCCUCAGUGGGCGCGCAGAUCUUGGGCGCGUCUUCCCAGCCCAGUGAGGCCGUGGCCCCCGCGCAAGGCGGGCAGGCUGCGCCUUGUCAGCCGGCCGGAGUGCCCCCGGCUGCUGUGGGAGGCGUGGUGCAGCCGUGCUUGGGUCCUGCCGGGGCUGGGCAGCCCCAAUCUGUGCCUCCGCCGCAGAUGGGUGGCAGUGGUCAGCUGUCAGCCGUACCUGGUGGCCCUCACGCCGUGGUGCCCGGAGUUCCAAACGUGCCUGCACCCGUGCCCGCUCCAAGCGUGCCUAGUGUGUCUACCACUUCUGUUACUAUGCCAAAUGUACCCGCGCCUCUGGCCCAGUCGCAGCCGCUGAGCAGCCAUACGCCAGUCAGGAGCAGCAGCGUAAUUCAGCACGUUGGGCUGCCCUUAGCUCAAGGCACACACAGUGCACCAACAAGUCUACCACAGUCUGACCCAAGCCAGUUUCAGACUCAGACCCAGCCUUUAGUCGGGCAAGUUGACGAUGCUAGAAGAAAAUCAGAACCCCUACCUCAACCGCCACUUUCUCUUCUUGCUGAAAAUAAGCCUGUUGUGAAGCCUCCUGUUGCAGAUGCCCUGGCAAACCCCCUUCAGUUAACACCUAUGAACAGUCUGGCCACCUCUGUGUUCAGCAUAGCUAUUCCUGUUGAUGGCGAUGAAGACAGGAAUCCUUCAACUGCUUUCUACCAAGCGUUCCAUUUGAACACGUUUCAGGAAUCAAAGAGCCUCUGGGAUAGAAUUUUUUUUAGAAUUCAGCAUCGGAGGAGGAAUGUGACAUAAUAAUGAUCGAAAGCCGAAAGUUUAAAAGUUGUGAUGCCCUCACAUGGUUGGAGGGUUAUUCUAGCUUCUAAGGACUGAAUGUUGUCCACAAGAGUGUCUCAUCAGGUCAUAAAUUGUGCAUCUGGGGGAGGUGUUGUAGCCAUUGACAACAAAAUAGAACAAGCGAUGGAUCUGGUGAAAAGCCAUUUGAUGUAUGCAGUAAGAGAAGAAGUGGAAGUUUUAAAGGAACAAAUAAAAGAAUUAGUUGAAAGAAACUCUUUACUUGAACGAGAAAAUGCACUGUUAAAAUCUCUUUCAAACAAUGAUCAAUUAUCCCAACUCCCAGCCCAACAGGCCAAUCCUGGUAGCACUUCUCAACAGCAAGCAGUGAUAGCACAGCCUCCGCAGCCAACGCAACCUCCACAGCAGCCGAAUGUCUCCUCAGCAUAAAGCUUUCUUAAGCCUCAUUAAGAAAAAAACUGAAAGCAAUCUAUCCUUGUGUGCCACUGAUGUUCUUUCCACUUUAUACGAAAGCAAGUAGCCAUGCUUUGGUUGUGUGUUUGGCCUUUUCAGUAUUAGACAAUCAUUCUACAAGAGCUUUUUCUCUCUCUGAGAUGUCAUGCAGCGCUGUUGAUGUCCAGUUCCAUGUCAUCAGUACACAAGGAGAAUAAUAGAUGGGGUUUAUUAAAGCAAGCAAAGUCUGCAUUUUACCUGGUGCGCACGAGUAGGGUCUUUAAGAGUUUUGGUGGCUCUCCCUUGUUUCCUAUUACCCAUGGAUUUACCCUGAGCCUUCCUAUCACAUUAUAAAUAACAGUUCAUCUAAAGAGCCACUUUUCUUUCAAUAUCAGUAACAUUUGCCUACAUAAGUUUUCAUUUAUUUGUGUUUUAUUUAUUACAGGGCUGCUAUUUUCAUAAUGUACAUGAACAAUGUCACAGAACUUUUUUAAUUUUUUUGAAUAAUUAUAAGUAUCAGUAAAGGAAUUUAAAGACAGGAUUGCAUUUAAUAAAACGUUUAUGCAAUAAUUGAACAAAAGAAUCCUGGCAUAUUUCUAACACUAAUGGCAAUUUACCUUUGGUAUUUAUUUUCAGUAGUAAAGACCCAGCUUGAAUGUAAAUUUUGUAUAGUGUAAGUAUGAAGAACAUAGUGCAACUGUACAGGUAGUCACCAGUUAUUGUGAUAUAAUAAAUAAUUGGGCUAUUUUGAUGAAGAAAACUCUGUUCAUUUGUUUCUACUUUCUAAUAGAGAAAUUGCCAUGAUUCCUCUGCUUUUCAACAUUUCGUAUGACUUUGUUUUUUUUUUCGGGUGGGAAUAAAAAGCUGUGAAAUUGUUCAACCUACUUUGUAACCAAAGAAGCAAAGCUGUGUAAUGGAGUUGUUUUUUUUUGGUUUUUUUUUUUAUAAUGCACAUUCUUUAUGUAUUUUUAUUUAGUGUUUUCUUGGUCACAAUUUUCUUUGCUGUCUAGCAUGAUCUGCAUGACCUAUAAUCUUUGAACCACUUUCGUACCUCAUGUUUUUAUCCAGCACUCUUAUUGUAAUAUGUACUAGUCUGUGAACAAUGUCAAGUAAAAAAGAAAGAACAGGUAGUAUGGUGGAGCUGAGCUAGUGUACAAUACACUAGUUGUAAAAAAAAAAAAAAUGAAGUGAGCCAUCUUUUGUUCAUUUAAAAUGGUGUUUUGAAUUUCGUAUGCAGAAAACGUUUUGUUACAUUGCAGAUUUUAAUGUAUUUAAUAAAUGCAACAUGCAGAUUAAGUGCAGUGUAUACUGAGUAUUUAAAUUAAAAUGUACAUUUCAUAAAUACAGUUUCAAGAGAAAGCAUCAUUUUGUGUAUACUAACACAUUAAGUGUAUGUCAGAAAUUGAUGUAUAAAUAUAUAUUUUAACACAUUUUCUGAAAUUAAACUGCAGUUUUGUUGAAA